UAUAACCUGCAUUCCACCACUGCGCUC
rnacentral:piRNA from 1 species